rnacentral:tRNA from 1 species
UUUUAUAUAGUUUAAUAAAAACAUCAUAUUUUCAUUAUGAAAUUAAAAUUUUAAUUUUUAUAAAUA